rnacentral:rRNA from 1 species
UGGGGGAUAUUGCACAAUGGGGGGAACCCGUGAUGCAGCGACGCCGCGUGGGUGAAGAAGCGCCUCGGCGCGUAAAGCCCUGUCAGCAGGGAAGAAAUGACGGUACCUGAAGAAGAAGCCCCGGCUAACUACGUGCC